GAUGAACGCUGGCGGCGUGCCUAAUACAUGCAAGUCGAGCGAACGGACGAGAAGCUUGCUUCUCUGAUGUUAGCGGCGGACGGGUGAGUAACACGUGGAUAACCUACCUAUAAGACUGGGAUAACUUCGGGAAACCGGAGCUAAUACCGGAUAAUAUUUUGAACCGAAUGGUUCAAAAGUGAAAGACGGUCUUGCUGUCACUUAUAGAUGGAUCCGCGCUGCAUUAGCUAGUUGGUAAGGUAACGGCUUACCAAGGCAACGAUGCAUAGCCGACCUGAGAGGGUGAUCGGCCACAACUGAACUGAGACACGGUCCCGACUCCUACGGGGGGCAGCAGUAGGGAAUCUUCCGCAAUGGGCGAAAGCCUGACGGAGCAACGCCGCGUGAGGGAAGAAGGUCUUCGGAUCGUAAAACUCUGUUAUUAGGGAAGAACAUAUGUGUAAGUAACUGUGCACAUCUUGACGGUACCUAAUCAGAAAGCCACGGCUAACUACGUG
rnacentral:rRNA from 1 species